CUGGCUCAGGAUGAACGCUAGCUACAGGCUUAACACAUGCAAGUCGAGGGGCAGCAUUGGGAUAGCUUGCUAUCCAGAUGGCGACCGGCGCACGGGUGAGUAACGCGUAUCCAACCUUCCCUAUAGUAGAGAAUAGCCCGGCGAAAGUCGGAUUAAUGCUCUAUGUUGUGUUUUGAGGACAUCUGACGAACACCAAAGGUUCACCGCUAUAGGAUGGGGAUGCGUCUGAUUAGCUUGUUGGCGGGGUAACGGCCCACCAAGGCGACGAUCAGUAGGGGUUCUGAGAGGAAGGUCCCCCACAUUGGUACUGAGACACGGACCAAACUCCUACGGGAGGCAGCAGUGAGGAAUAUUGGUCAAUGGGCGAGAGCCUGAACCAGCCAAGUAGCGUGCAGGAUGACUGCCCUAUGGGUUGUAAACUGCUUUUAUCAGGGAAUAAAGUGCGGCACGUGUGCCGUUUUGUAUGUACCUGAUGAAUAAGGACCGGCUAAUUCCGUGCCAGCCGCAGC
rnacentral:rRNA from 1 species